GUUGGGUUUUCCCUGCAACGGCAGCAGACCAUCUGUCUCAGAGCCGGGCUUAACAAAUGACAAAGGUGUGGGUCCUCCUUCGUCUUGUGCUUCUUUCCCUUAAGGUGCUCAUUCAGAGUAUGUUCGCUGGUUGCAGUAACUUGGCAGAGGGUGCAACUCCACUCCUCUUUCACUCUCUUCUGCUUCUUCAAGUUGCCAUCUGACUGGGGACUUGUGCCCGAUCCAGGGUUAGGCCUCUUAGCUCCAGUUAUAUUUUCGGUUGGCUUAGCCUGCAAUACUCGCAAAACAUACUGAUCAUAAAUAUUGUACAAAAAUUACACAUGUUGAUUUGAUGUUACAGAAUUUUUAGCUAAAAAAGAAAGAAUAUCGACCAGUA